AGAGCUAAUCAAAAAGUAUCGAGACUGAUAAUAUUACUCGGAAACCGAGCGUUGAAGAGCAAAACGAUUUGUAAACCUAGCGUCUACGACUUAUACUGAGCACAUCUAUUCGUAUAAAAUCUCUAUAAACUUCUUCGUUUUGAUUUGACGGUAUUUUUCUAAUAUUUGUUUUUCACGUUUGGCGAUUUUGUAAUGAAUCCAAAAGAAGCGGAACUUGCUGCCACUCGAGGGCACAUUUUCAGUUUUUCAAUUGACAUUUAAUGGCGAAAACCACGAAAUGUUGCAUCCCUCUGAAACUGGAAAAAAAUGCAGACAGAUUUUCUAAAAUCUCCAAAUCUGUCAAGUUACUCUUCUUUUGGGUUUAUUAAAAAAUCGCCAAACUCGAAAAAUAUAUUUUACAAAAAUAUCAGUGAAAUCAAACCGAAGAAUUUUAUAGAGAAGCAAUAAAAACAAAUGUACUCAGAAAAAGUCAUAGAAGCAAGUGAUAUCAAUCCUACUGCUCUUCGAUGCUGCUUUUCCGAAUGACACUACCAGUCUUGAUACUUUUUGAUUAGCCCUCGUAUUUAUGUACACGUAUGUAAGUACAUUAUAACAGAAUAAAUACUGUAAGAAGAAUGCCAUUUGGUAUUACUAAAUAAAUUAAAGAAAAUUGCAAAAUACAAAUUAUUAACGAAAUAUAAUCAGGUUUUUGAAUAGGUAGUUCAAAACAAAAUUAUAU